rnacentral:rRNA from 1 species
GAUGAACGCUGGCGGCGUGCCUAACACAUGCGAGUCGAACGGAGUCCCGCCUUUAAGACCUUCGGGUCAAAGAGGGGAAGACUGAGUGGCGGACGGGUGAGUAACACGUGUGCUACCUGGCUCAUAGAGGGGGAUAACAGAGAGAAAUUUCUGCUAAUACCGCAGAAGCACACCCUGCCGCAUGGCAGAGUUUGACAAGAGAAUCGCUAUGAGUUGGACCCGCGUCUGAUUAGCCAGUUGGCCGGGUAAGAGCCUACCAAAGCGACGAUCAGUAGCCGAUCUGAGAGGAUGAGCCGCCACAUUGGGAAUGAGACACAGCGCAAACUCCUACGGGAGGCAGCAGUGGGGGAUAUUGCACGAUGGGGGGAACCAUGAUGCAGCGACGCCGAGUAAGUGAAGAAGUAUUUAGGUAAGUAAAGCACUAUCAGCAGGGAAGAUAAUGACGGUACCUGAAUAAGAAGCCCCGGCUAACUACGUG